rnacentral:rRNA from 1 species
UAGGGAAUCUUCCGCAAUGGGCGAAAGCCUGACGGAGCAACGCCGCGUGAGUGAAGAGGGAUUUCGGUUCGUAAAGCUCUGUUGUUAGGGAAGAAUGAUUGUGUAGUAACUAUACACAGUAGAGACGGUACCUAACCAGAAAGCCACGGCUAACUACGUGCCAGCAGCCGCGGUAAUACGUAGGUGGCAAGCGCUGUCCGGAAUUAUUGGGCGUAAAGCGCGCGCAGGUGGUUUAAUAAGUCUGAUGUGAAAGUCCACGGCUCAACCGUGGAGGGUCAUUGGAAACUGUUAAACUUGAGUGCAGGAGAGAAAAGUGGAAUUCCUAGUGUAGCGGUGAAAUGCGUAGAGAUUAGGAGGAACACCAGUGGCGAAGGCGGCUUUUUGGCCUGUAACUGACACUGAGGCGCGAAAGCGUGGGGAGCAAACAGGAUUAGAUACCCUGGUAGUCCACGCCGUAAACGAUGAGUGCUAAGUGUUGGUCUCAUAAGAGAUCAGUGCCGCAGCUAACGCAUUAAGCACUCCGCCUGGGGAGUACGACCGCAAGGUUG